CUCUUUCUCGAUUCAGUGGAUGGUGGUGCAUGGCCGUUCUUAGUUGGUGGAGUGAUCUGUCUGGUUAAUUCCGAUAACGAACGAGACUCUCCCCUGCUAACUAGUCGCUUGGAUCUUGAUCAGUGGGUUGAGUGCCGAGUAACUCUCGCUGUGCGUGUUGUGCGUCUCGUUCCUCACGGUUCGUUGCGUGCUCAUGUGUGGCGUUGGAUGCCUUGGAUCACACUGCACCCCAAGUCCGCCGCUUUGCUAUAACUCUUCUUAGAGGGAUUCACGGCACUGAAGCCGUAAGAGACUGAGAGCAAUAACAGGUCUGUGAUGCCCUUAGAUGCUCUGGGCCGCACGCGCGCUACAAUGCCGGGCACAGCAGGUGUUUCUCCUGCUCCGACAGGAGCGGGUAACCCUCUGAAAGCCAGUGUUCUUGCAAGUGCUUCCUCCCUCGUGGAGUUGCACAGAGGCGUGCUUGGGCCUGGGACUUGCAAUUCUUUCCCACCAACGAGGAAUGCCUAGUAGCGGCGGGUCACUGAGCCCGCUGUGACUCAGUCCCUGCCCUUUGUACACACCGCCCGUCGCUACUACCGAUUGGGUGUACCAGUGAGAGCCUUGGACUGGCGUCCGUUGUUGCUCGUAAGAGUGACAAGCGGGUCCGACGGAAAGAGGUCCGAA
rnacentral:rRNA from 1 species